rnacentral:rRNA from 1 species
AUUGAACGCUGGCGGCAUGCUUUACACAUGCAAGUCGAACGGUAACAGGCCUUCGGGUGCUGACGAGUGGCGAACGGGUGAGUAAUGCAUCGGAACGUGCCCAGAGGUGGGGGAUAACGCAGCGAAAGCUGUGCUAAUACCGCAUGUGAUCUGAGGAUGAAAGCGGGGGACCAGGCAGCAAUGUUUGGCCUCGCGCCUUUGGAGCGGCCGAUGUCAGAUUAGGUAGUUGGUGGGGUAAAGGCCUACCAGGCCGACGAUCUGUAGCUGGUCUGAGAGGACGACCAGCCACACUGGGACUGAGACACGGCCCAGACUCCUACGGGAGGCAGCAGUGGGGAAUGUUGGACAAUGGGCGCAAGCCUGAUCCAGCAAUGCCGCGUGCGGGAAGAAGGCCUUCGGGUUGUAAACCGCUUUUGUACGGAACGAAAAGGCUCUGGCUAAUACCUGGGGCUGAUGACGGUACCGUAAGAAUAAGCACCGGCUAACUACGUG